rnacentral:rRNA from 1 species
UACGGGGGGGGGCAAGCGUUGUUCGGAAUUACUGGGCGUAAAGCGCGCGUAGGCGGCCCGGUAAGUCCGCUGUAAAAGUCAAAGGCUCAACCUUUGAAUGUCAGUGGAUACUGCCGGGCUAGAGUCCGGAAGAGGCGAGUGGAACUCCUGGUGUAGCGGUGGAAUGCGCAGAUAUCAGGAAGAACACCGACGGCGAAGGCAGCUCGCUGGGACGGUACUGACGCUGAGACGCGAAAGCGUGGGGAGCGAACAGG